GAAAUUAUUCGUAAGCAACAAGAUCGUUCAAAAAAAUAAGGUACAAUUUCCUUGUAAUUAGGCAUAAAAGAUACAUGUGCAGAAAGAAAAGGUUUAAUAACAUAUAUAUCUGUACAACUCUGAAGAGUUGCAGAGAGGCACAUACAAGUGCAACUGGCUCCAUUAUGCCAAUACCUAUCUAUAUAUUCUUCCUACUUAGAACUACUAGGUAAAGUCAGCAUUGCUGCUCCGUUGUGUCUCUUCAUUCCUUGUCUUUGGAGUCCUCCUCUGGGGUUGUAUUGGCAGCAUCCAUCAGACUAUCAAAUUUCUCGGACUUCCCUAACACUAUCUCAAUCUAGAAAUCAAGGGAAAAAUUUAAUCCAGUAAGCAAUUACAUAACUAGCAAACUUGACCAUUUUAAUACCCGUAAAGAUAUCAAACGUACCUUGGCCUUCUGAACCAGUCGUCCUUUGUUUUCAUCUUUCAUGCCUACUGUAGAUGUCAAAACUUCUGCUCAUUCAGUGAGGAAAUAAGAAAAGAAUAAUUAGCCAUAUUAGCACAGCGUAGCUUUGACAAUUAAGAUUAAGGGAAAGGAAACUCACUCUUCUCGGUGGCUAAUCCAUUAUUCUUCAAUAUCUCAGCAAUUGUGACAACGGUUGUAAUUGCUGUAAUGAAAUGAAAAUUAAAAUUUAGCCAUCAUGGUGACAAAUUUUCUUUUCAUUCCUUCUAAACUUCCUCCCGUGUUUGGAAAUGCUCUUUCUUUGAAGAAAAAUCGAUUUGAUACACUUUCAAAUUUUGGUAAGGUAUCACAUUGAUUAAAUUCUGAUCAAUUAUAGCAUUUGUAUUAGAGAAAUAAGUUCUACAUCUGACAUCCUCAUACCAUUCCAUAGGGUACUACCCUCAAUCAGCAACUACUCUGACAACUAGAUAACUUCUAAAAGCCUAAGCAAAUCAAUGAAUUGCGAAAAUCUUCGUAGAAGCUUAAAUGAAAAACGAGAGAUGUUUUUGUACGACGCACGUACCCAUGCCCAAGGCAGAAAGCUCAACCUCAUCAUGUUGCUGCAUAUACCUCUUAGCGAGAUUGACAUAAAAGAAGAGCGGCUUCUUGGUGUUGGACACUUGAAUCCUGUUCUUCUUCUGCUGUGCUUGAACAGCGACGGACAUCUCAGUGGGUGUUCCAGUGGGUGCGGUUGCCGGUGUUGGUAAGGGUGCUGGUGCUACUGUCUCAACAGCCAUUUUUCCUCUAUAACUCUCUGAGUCUGUAAUUUCUUGUUCCUAAUCUAAAUUUUCUUGUUUAUAGAGCGGGAAAGUUGGGUUAUCGAAGCGAAGCGAUUGUUGGGUUCGUGAAAGUAGAGGAGACGGUUACAAAUGGUGCUGGUUUUAUAAAGAGGCGCGACCGGUAGAGGAACACGUUUUGAUUUCUCAUUGGUCGUUGACGUGGUAAGAGAAUAAGACGGGCUUGGUUUUCUUCUAUUGUUCAAAUGACGGAUUUGCCCCUUAAGUCCAUUUGCCCCUAUUUUUCUUUUUCAGUUGAUGUGUAGAUUAUUAAUUUGGUCGAAUCUUAAUUUGUUUUUCUGUUCUUUUUAUGCUGAUUGGAUUCUCCUGAUUUGAUUCUGAUUUUUUGAAGUCGAAAUAUUAUUUGCUGGAAUGGAUUGCCGUUUCCAAGUGCUUUCUUUUUUGUUUAAAUAUGUCUUGUUGAUUGGUUGCUGAUUAACCGGUGGAAAAGUAGUAUAAAAUAGAGGUUUAAGUGGGUUUUUGUUUACGUUUUUUUUAUGGUUAGAAAGGACUCUAGGUUCCUGUUGGCUGGGUCUCUACUCACUUGAAGAAUUAUCUUUAUUUUUCUCCCCGUUUUUUAGUCUGCCUAGUAGAGGCUAAAGUGGUAAUGAUUUGUUGAAAUAUUGUAUUAACCUAGUUGCCUAUAUGUUAGUCUCACAUGUUUCUGAUGGACAAUACGUGCCUUAAUUUCUUUACAUUACCUGGAAACUUUGUUUAUAAAACAAUAUGCAUUUGAGCAAUAAUUUGGUGAUUGACUUAAAUGGGUGUGGGCUUAGAAGUUUAGCGUGCGGAGAUUGUUAUAAUCAGAGUUGAUCCCUUUUCACUAUGAGUAGCACUAUGAAAUUUCCCUGCGCAAUGAAUCUUCCUUUGUUUGUCAAAAAUAAUUUGCACCGUGAGUAUUGCUUUAUUUUUUUAUUCAUUUAUUUUGUUGUGCAGUGUCCAAUGGAUUUCGAUAGUCUUGUUCCCAUCGAUGGGCUUGAAACUGGCUAUCAAAAUGGUGUUCAUGAGCAAAUUCCUGCCUCUGGGGAUGGUGUUGUUUCAAAUAAUGUAAAUGGGACUAUUGGGAAAAUUGCAGUCUCUACAGGGCCAGAUGAAAAUUUAGACAAUGCAUCUAAGUUGGAGGACUUAACUAUUCAUAUUUCAUCUGCUGGCGAGUCCAGGGAAGAGUCAAAUGUACAUGUGGGAAGCAAUGGAUUCACUGGUUCUAAGGAAGGGGAAAUAAAAGAUGCUGAACAUUCAGAGCAUGUCAAAUCACUGAAGGGUCCUGGAAAGGGCAAGAGCGAAAAGCCAUCAAACACAAAAAAUGUCUCAGCCACUCAGACUAAGAAGAGCAAGGAUGGAAAAGUUGCCAGGGCACCUCCUACUGUUUCAAAUGGUUCACUUUCAUCAAAUUCACAGUCAAAGCAGCCCUUGACAAGCAAAUCAUUCAAUGAGAAGCAGCAUUCUGGGAAGUCUGAUGUGGCAUCCUCUGAAGGCCUCAUGGAGAGGACAAAAGUGAAAGCUUUGAAGAAAGGACCUAACAUUAAAGCUGAAGGGGAGCCACAAACUCCUUUAAGUCCCACUUCAGAAGAGGCCAAACCUCGCAGGGUGGGUACACUUCCCAAUUAUGGUUUUAGCUUUAAGUGUGAUGAACGAGCCGAGAGAAGGAAAGAGUUCUACUCUAAACUUGAGGAAAAGAUUCAUGCCAAGGAAGUGGAAAAGAAUACCUUGCAAGCAAAAUCCAAGGAAACCCAAGAAGCGGAGAUCAAGUUGUUCAGGAAAAGUUUGAACUUUAAAGCAACGCCAAUGCCUAGCUUCUAUCAGGAGCCUCCACCACCUAAGGUGGAGCUAAAAAAGAUACCCCCAACAAGACCCAAAUCUCCCAAGUUAGGUCGAAGGAAGAGUUCAUCUCCUGUAGGUCCUGAAGGAAACCAUGGGCAGAGUAUUCGACCAGGUUGGCUAAGUUUAGAUGAGGGAAUGUCGCAGAACAACUCUGCCAAAGGACCUUCUCCUGUUCAUUCAAAGAAGCCACAGCGGAAGUCCCUCCCGAAACUGCCUUCUCAGAAGAGCAGUUUAUCGAAUGCAACAAAUGAUGAAAAAACUGCAUCAUCUAAAGUAACAAAUGAGGAAAAUGCCACCUUGUCUAAUCCAAUGAAUGAAAAUGCAUCUCCCAUCCAAAAAGAUGAGGAGCUAGUGGUUGGAGAGCAAGCUCAGCCUACUUUAGUGCAAGAACCAAUAGCAUCCGAGAGUUGAUCAGAGCAGCACUGGAAUCAGAAGCUCUACAAAGGCCUUGAAAAUCCGUGUCCGUAAAUAAGUGGUCAAGACUUGAAUCAUCGCACAAUGAAGCUAUGGAUUGUGAUGUCAUGUUUGUCAGUAGUCAGCAGCAUUGGUUGUUUUGUGUGCCUGCUUGCAUGGCUGCUGAUCUUCUCAAUAGGAUUCUUUAUUCUGCUUGCAGCAUUGUAUGUUACCAUUUGCUAAAAUUACCUUAUUUAUGUUGUUAAGCAUACUUUAUCCGUUUGCUUAUUGAAAAAAAAAAUAUAUAUAUUUUUGGAAAAAGUUUAGAGGAGUCUGCUGCUAGAUAGCUUGAGGUUAGAAAGUGCUGUCUGUUUGAUGAUGAAGGCUGGUUUGUUCUGUUGUAUAUCAUGGGAAUCCUUGUGUUCUUUCUUCUUGCAUUUACCAUAAAAUGAAAUUUUAAAAUAAAAA
rnacentral:misc_RNA from 1 species